UACGUAGGUGACAAGCGUUGUUCGGAUUUACUGGGCGUAAAGGGUGCGUAGGCGGCCAGCGCAAGUCAGUUGUGAAAUCUCCGGGCUUAACUCGGAAAGGUCAACUGAUACUGCGCGGCUAGAGUGCGGAAGGGGCAACUGGAAUUCUUGGUGUAGCGGUGAAAUGCGUAGAUAUCAAGAGGAACACCUGCGGCGAAGGCGGGUUGCUGGGCCGACACUGACGCUGAGGCGCGAAAGCCAGGGGAGCGAACGGG
rnacentral:rRNA from 1 species